rnacentral:rRNA from 1 species
UACGUAGGUGGCAAGCGUUUGUCCGGAUUUACUGGGCGUAAAGAGCGCGCAGGCGGUCGUUCAAGUCGCGUGUGAAAGCCCCCGGCUCAACUGGGGAGGGUCACGCGAUACUGAUCGACUGGAAGGCAGGAGAGGGUAGUGGAAUUCCCGGUGUAGUGGUGAAAUGCGUAGAUAUCGGGAGGAACACCAGUGGCGAAGGCGACUACCUGGCCUGUUCUUGACGCUGAGGCGCGAAAGCUGGGGGAGCAAACGGGG